AAUACGGAAAAAGUGAGCCGAGGAGACAACGGUGGAGAGCUGGCGAGGCUGCCCGGGGUCGCAGCGGCGGGCGGGUCAGCCGGGGGGCGGGGACCCCGCGCGGGACCCCGGGGUGCGGCGGCGCUGGGCUGGAUGCGCGUGCCGGGGGCCGUGGAUGGCCAUGGAUGGGCCCCGCCGGGCCGCGUAUCUCUCGGGGACCCUGCGGCCAACACUGUCUUUUAGAGCCGGGGAUGGGGGAGUGGAGGGGGCCCUGUUGCCCUAGAGGCCUCGGGACCCUUCCCUUGCCCACCCCCACUCGGGCCGCGGCGGGCAGGAGCAGUCUGCGGAGUUCUGGCCCAUCUGUCACUCUGUCCCGGGACGCUGUGAUCCACGGCGGUGGGGGAGGGGGAAGGGGGAGGGACAAGCAUGGCUCGGGUGAAGUUUUAAACUCUGUUCUUCUCUCUUGCCUUUCUUUGGGGACAUUCUCCCCUUUGGGAUCUGUCCUGGACUUCGCAGGCUGCGAGAACUUGUUGACAAGUGAAAGCUCGGUAGAGCCCCGGCUUGGUUUGUGGUCUGCUUAUUUUUUGCAAAGUGACUGUUCCUGUUUGCGCUGGUCCUUAUCGGUGCCCCUUUGGGGGACUUCGGCACUGAUCAGCGCGCUGACAGCCGCCGUCCGGGCUGCGGGAAAAUGGGGCGCGCCCUCCGGGGGGCGAGUGGCUGUGUCCUUGCUAAUUUCCUCCGUAACCUUUAAACUCUCGCUGGAAGCUACCGCCGCGGCUGGUCACGUGAGGAGAGCCCUGGGCUGCUGGGGAAAAAUUUCCUCGGCUGGGAGCCGGGACCGGGCCGGCGGCCGGCGAGGGACUGCCCCGCGCCCGAGACUGGGAACCUGGGAGGGCAGGGCCGGAGCGCUGGGCCCCGGGGCGCGGCCCAGCUGGGACACCCGCGAAGACGGCGGCGGUGAAGAGGUCGGCUCCGCUGCCGGGGAGCUGGGGAUUAUGCAAAUGGGGAAAGAAAACCUCCGCCCUCGCCCUUCUGCCAAGUCAAGUCUGGGAAUUUGUAGGUAUUGUGGUAAGCUGAGUGUUCAUCUGGCGGGUCUGGUUAGUGUAAACCAAAAUUUAAAACGCGCCUCCCGAUCACUUUUUCCUCAGUGGGUAAAGGUUAUCAUUGCCUGCGGCUUAAAAGCCUAAAAAGGCUUAAAGGCGAGGAAGGAGGCAGUCCCCUGGAAAAACAGGAUAUCAAGUGCAGCAAACACGUCCCAAAAAUGAUCCGAAAAGUUCUAGGGCCAUCUCCUAAGAACAGGCAAAGCCUUUGCCUGCAACCGCUCUGGAGCUUCCUAAUACAGUAAUUUAGGGCAGCUGGGUAGAGAUGGUGCUAAGAUUCAGUCUUCCGUAUGAUCUAGGUAGCUCCGAUGUAAAAAGCCAGGAUUUCAAUGGUUGUCUUACCCUGUCACUCCCCCAGCUGGAGAUACGAUAUCUUAAAAUAUGUCCGUUUGACAAAGCACAAGCAGGGGUAUCUCAUUGCUGUUUAAUUUUUAUUUCUUUGAUUAUUACUUUUUUCCCUUUUGCUUCUUCCUUCCACUCUGCUAUUCUCAUGAAGCCUCUUUCCCCCUUUCCAGGGCAUGUGAUGGAAGGCAGUGGCAAAUAUGGCUUGAUCUUCUGAAAAUGCAUUUGGGAAGCAGAGCCAGCACCAAAGUGAGAUGAGUGAGAUACUUUUCAGAGGCAAAAUGUAAAGGGUACCAAUAAACGUAAUCAAGAUAAAGAUUUAAUACAAUUUUUUAAAAAUAAAAAUGUGAGAAUCCAGAAUGGACACAAUAUCCACAUUUUAAAUAAUUUUAAAUAUUGCACUAAAAUAUUUAUACUACUGAGUUUAUUGGCACCUGUUAAAUUUUGUACCUGAGCCGAGUGCGUCACUCAUCUCACCCUAGUCCUGAUCCUGUUGGGAAGUCUGGAAAGUCAAGGAUUUCAUGGAGUUAGGGAUCCUUGACUAAUUGGUGCUUCAUAUGUUCUCAUUACUUGCUUUGGGUAAGUCUUGUACAGGCAGGAGCCACCAUGCCCAGCCCCCAAAUAUAUUAAAUAGGGUCUGUUACCAUCUCAGUGACUGUCUUAAAACAACCUACAAACUUCCAGCACCAUUUCCUAGCAUGCUGGCUCAGCAGACUGUUACUCCGUGUAAAUCACCAGACUGCAAUUCUCAAGGGCGACCAAUGCUUGUCUCCUUUCCAUUACAGCAACUCUUUUGGAGCAAGGGUAAUAAAAGACUUUGUCAAACAAAAUACAUGUUUUGUAUUGGAUUAAUGUUUACAUAAAAAGGGAGAAUGCUGGUAGUCUGCAUGCAAACACUGCUAGUUUCCUGCCCUUAUUACCUCCUUAUUUCUAAAUAAAUCUCUCGCCUUCCUACUCUCAAACUUGGCCAAAUGAAAAGUUGAAUUCCCCAGGGACAUCAUGGAGAUGCCAGGUCCAAAAUAACCCCCUGCUCCAGGUUUCAUGUGAAAAGAAAAUCCCAAGGAGGGGGCUUAGACGGUAAAAUUCCAAUAGGAAAUUAUUGCCAGCUUCAUCCUUCCCUCAGCCCCUGUCUCCAAUCCCAAAGGAUAAGACAGUGGUUAGCAUAUACAUUGAGUAAAAUGACCUUUGGAUUCCAACUAUGGCCUAGUUAUUUCAUAAUCUUUGUGAGAAGGAAGAAAAUGAUACAAUAAUUUAACAAAGAUGACCAAAAUGGAGCCUUUCUCCUUUCAAAAUUAAGGCUUAUGAGAAAAGAAUAGAACAACAGAUGUGGCCAGGACAGGGCGAUCAGUGUUGCAAUAGGUCUAUGGAUGGGAGUGGCACAGAAGAAGGAUCACCCCUUUGCCUGGGGAGCCUGGGAAGGCAUCAACCAGCAGAAUCCUUUGAGCUGAGUCUAGGCUUUCCAACAGGAGUUCUUCCAGCAGCAAAGAGGGAAGGGAAGGGUACUGGCUGCAAAAAGUAUAAUGUGUACAGGUAGGAAAGCCAUGACUCUUCAGGUAAGCGGCCAGGUGUGCCCCACUUGUGGCAGGUAGUAACAGGAGAUGAAGUAAGUAGGAACCUGAUAGUUAAGACCUCAGAGGGCCUGCAGAUGGGUCUCAACUUUUUCCUGGAGAGACACCAAACAUUCCAGCGGGCAAGCAGCAUAACUAGAGUUAAUACUUUACAAAGGCGAUUUUGUGAUGGAUAAAUAUUUUUCUCUUCUGUAAUUUUCCUCCAGAAGGCUCACCUCAAAACAGGGUAUUAGACAAAGAGAAGAUCCAAGUCUGAAGAUGAUUUACACUCUGUAUAAUCAAAAUUGAAACUGUCUGUGGAUACUGUUUAGAUCAGCUGGAGGAAGCGGGGAAGGGGGAGCCAGAACCGUAGACUAGCGCGUUAAUAUUCAUGUCCCUGUUGCUGUGCUGGUUGUUGCCAUUUAUAGAAUGUUAAUGGGCUUCUGCAAAGGUCUGCCUGGUCAGGGUCUAUCAUACAUUCCACACAUGCUCCGCUGAACAGAAUCCAACCACCUGGGCCAUGGGAUGGAACGCGCAGCAGUAUAAUGACACAGAAACCUUCUAGAGCUCCGCUGGUCCUGCCCCAGCCUAGCCCCCACCCGACCCUGAGCCCCACUUCAAACUUUGCCCCACACCUAUACUCCUGUGGUGGGCUUUUGUCUGCCCUGCCAUGUCUUCUUAUUUUGGCCCCAUCUCAGCUCCGAAUUCUGGCCCCAUCUCUGCUCUAUAUUCUGUUGCAGUGACUCAGGCCAAGCUUCACUUAAUACCUGCAAAGAGGUGGAGGGAUCAGAGGCAGCCCUAUCGAGCUUGCUGAUGGAUGCAGAAGGAGAUGGCCUGGUGCCCCUAUUCCUCAGGGCCUGUGACUGUGAGCCCUACUCACUAGGAUGCCAUUUGGAGAAUAGCAUAACAUUCUUCAUCUUCUGUGGGUCAGAUGUUGGGUUGUGUCUUGGGAUUUUUUUUUUAUAAGGGACAGAGUCUCACUCUGUUGACCAGGCUGGAGUACAGUGACACAAUCACAGUUCACUGCAGCCUUGGCCUCCCAGACUUGAGCAAUUCUCCCACCUCAGCCUCCUGAGUGGCUGGGACUAAAGCCAUGUGCCACCAUGCCCAGCUAAAGUUUUUUGAUUGUUUUUGUAGAGAUGGGGUCUCACUAUGUUGCUCAAGCUGGUCUUGAACUCCUGGACUCUAGUGGUCCUCCUGCAUCAGCCUCCCAAAGUGCUGGGAUUACAAGUGUGAGCCACCGUGCCUGGCCCCUGUCUUGGACUUUUAAGAUCAUAUGUCAAUCCAAGGGUCUUUACUAAGUACUUGCUAUAUAUAGGAUACUAGGGCAGGUGCUCCAGGGAGGAUAAAUAGCUAUAUGGAUAAUCCCUACUCUACCUGGGGAGAUGAGUAGAUCAAUUCAGUCGGUCCUUUAUUUAACAGUCAGUAGUGUCAUGUCAUGUCAUUUGGAGCACUAGGGAAACAAAAAAUGACAACACAAAAUGGCCCUUUAUUAGUCAGGAUUGGCUAGGUCAUGCUGCUGUAAUAAGCUCUCCCCAGAUCCCAACACCUUAAAAGAACAAAGCUUUCUUCUCAUGCAUGCUGUAAGUCUAUGGCAGGUUGGUUGGGAGCUCUGCUUCCCAUUAGCGUCAUUCUCACUUCUGGAUCCAGGCUGGCUAAAAAGUUACCAUCUGGAACAUGGCUGGUCAUGGGCAGAGAGAAAAAGGAUGUCUGGAGGGUCUUACACAGGCAAUUAAAUAGUCCACCUGGUGGCUCAUGCCUGUAAUCCCAGCAUUUUGGGAGGCCCUGGGUAGCAAAACCUCAUCUCUACAAAAUAAAAUAAAAUUAAAUUAAAUUAAAAAAACAUAGCUGAGCAUGGUGACGGGUGCCUGUAAUCCCUGCUACCUGGGAGGCUGAGGUGGGAGAAUUGCUUGAGGAGGCUGCAGUGAGCCAAGAUUGUGACACUGCACUUCAGCCUAGGCAACAGAGCCAGACCCUGUCCCCCACCUGCCCCCCACCCAAAAAAAUCCAUCUGGAAGUGCUAAAUAUCAUUUGUGCCCACUAAUUGUUAGCUAGAACCAGUCUCAGAUCCCGCCUUCCCCAACCACAGGGUCUGGGAAGUUCUACCAUCUGUACUGUCAAGGAGCAUGGAAUGUUUGGUGAAUAGCACUGAAGACUGCCAUAGACACUAUUCUCAAAUGACAGGUGCAGAAAGGUAAUUCAAGGUGGCACACAAUAAAUAACAAAUAAUCAGCCCACUCAGAAAGCACUAUAGGAACUUAGGGUAGCAAUAAUCACAGUAAGAGUCAGACUGUUUGACCGUCCUCCCUCCCUUUUGCUCUGGGCCACUGCAUACAGAAGACUCCAGAUGACAUGGAGAAUCCUGCCUAAUAUCAGAACCAGCAGCCAUCCAAGCUCCUUUCCCCUCCCCGUUAUAUGCUUAACACCUCAUGGGACGUGCAGUUCCUUAAAGCCACUUUAGAACCACGGCAGCACAAAGGAGGCAUUUGGGCCCAACAGAACUGAGAAGACUUACUUGUUAAACUCUGUGGGAUUUGAGGGAUCACUUGGUUUGUUUAAUUAAUUAAUUAAGUUUUUGAAAUGGAGUCUUGCUUUGUCACCCAGGCUGCAGUGCGGUGGCACACAAUCUCGUCUCACUGCUGCAACCUCAACCUCCCAGAUUCAAGCAAUUCUCCUGCCUCAGCCUCCUAAGUAACUGAGAUUAUAGGCACACACCACCAUGCCCAGCUAAUUUUUGUAUUUUUUUUUAGUACAGA
rnacentral:lncRNA from 1 species